UCAGUAAUAAUCGACACACUAAUUGUAUAUAAAUUUUAUCUUUCUUUCACUUGGGGGACAGGCAUCUGUGAUUUAUCUGCGAUUUGUCAUUUGUCAUUUGAUGUGCGCCAAUUUUAUGUUUUCUGCAUUUGGUACAGGCAUCUGUGAUUUUCAGAUUGAGUAACGUCGAGUCAUUAUGCUCUCAUUUUUGGAGAUAUUCAUGUGUUACAAAGAAAGUUAUAGGUUUCCUUUGAAAAUAGGAUUCUCAACAAUUAUCGUUCUAAUUGAAAAUUGAAAUGUUUUGAUGAAGGAGGAAUUAUUAGGAAUCAUUGGUUAGUUAUUCAAUGGUGGACAGGAUAUAAGUUUUGUACAUACCGCCCGUCAAGCAAAAAGCAGAGUUGAAUAUGAAAAUGGCAUAAAAUAAAAGCUAUUUUUUGUGCUUUCUAAUUUGUGUUAAGUCGAAACAUGGUUGCCAAUAAGGAAUUAUUGGCAGGGA
rnacentral:rRNA from 1 species